rnacentral:lncRNA from 1 species
CAAAGGAUAGAAGUAGUAAAACUUCAUGCAUCUUCAUUUUAGAAAAGCUUUUGGCAAUGUUCCUCAAGAAUAAGCAAAGGCAAUAUGGUUCAGAGUGAAAAUCCCAUAGGAUUAGAAGAAUGACUAGAGAAGUGAUAGCAAAAUGGCCCAAUAUCAAAUCAUAAAAUUUCAUUGAGAAAGGUUCUUUAAGGUUCUGUCCUGAAUCUGACACUACUCACUGCUUACUAAUUAUCUGACAAUAUAUGGAAUGUGGAUGUAAAGAGGACAGGAAGAAGACAACAGCUAAAGGUGUGUUAGGGAACAGAAUUAGAAUUCAGGGUGAUUUUGACAAACUGGAGAGUUUUUUAAGGAAAAGAAAAAUGCAACAGAAAAGAUGAUAUUCAAAAGUUGCAAGUGUAGAAAAUCAGACAUGGAGUCACUAGUUGCCCGGAUACAGGAAGGGGAAAAGUAAACAGGAUUGCAGUUUCAUAGAAAAAAACAUAGAGUGAAUCACAGGCUAGACACGAGUCAACACUCUUACGCUGCUAUAAAAAGGCAAAUGCCAUAUGAGGGUGUAGGAGAAGGAAGAGAGAAUGCAAAAUAGGCCAAGCAAUUAUUUUGCUCUGAUAACUGAUUGCAAUUGGAGUUUAUCUUUCUUAAAAUGUUUUUCACCAGAAAGAUGACUGGCAUGGGACACUGCACUCUGUGGCAUUGAGUGCCAGAAAACAAGAACACAAGGAUUCUAACAGCACUGUUUUGCUUAAUGAGUGAAACAAUACAAAGGAGAGAGAGACUUAAAACGUGCAAAAGGCUGCCCAGUGAAUAAAAUGAAGUCUUUCUAAGAAACAAUUGCACAAAGAACUCGGUGUGGGAAUGGCUGGAGGAAAUCCUACAGCUUUCCAUAUUCAGAAAGGGAAAAAGGAUGUCUCCUUUCCAAAAGGAAGAAGAGCCUCUGUUCAGAGGUGCCUCAUGCAGACAGAUGGUCUGAUAAGAAAUCACCCCAUGUUUUCAGUGGGAAACCAGCACGAAUUUGCACGACCAAGCUUUGCCCAUGCUGCCUGCCUACCGCCAGCUCUUGUAACAGCUGCGUCCUGUUUCUGUGCAGCCCUGCAGCGGUGCCGGAAAGACACUACCCAGGGGGUCGGGCUGCUGGGGAACAACCUGAAAUAAAAGCUGAGCCAAGAAAUGGAAUUGCACAGCUUUGCUUUGCUCCAUUUCUGAAGAAAAGUUAGUCUCCUUUUUGUACAGAUGACGUGAAAAACAUUGCAAUCGUCCUCCACCCAACAGUGAGCCUGAUGGGUGAGAAUACCCAUUGGUGUUGCCCAUGUGGCAUUGCAGGCAUUUUAGGGAAUGAGCAGCUCUAACCCCAAGCAUACUCAGGGCCAGCACACCUGCAUCUGAGGGGCAGCAGGAGAACCAACACUUGAAAUUUCAACACCAAACCCUCCAUGCCACAGAUACAGGAGAGGUGUGACGAUCAUUUAGAGGCCCCACAACCAGGCCUGUAGGACACAAGCAAUGCUUCUGGGAGACAGGAGAUGGUAGGAACCUGUCCUUCCGACUCAAGGGCACAGUGCCUUCCUCUUGCACCACCACGCACCCCCGCACCAUCCUGUGCUGCAUCACAAGAGCGUGGAGUUUAUUAUUAUUUAUUACGAUUGCCGUUGCUGCUGCUACCAAUAUUACUUCAGUAGAAGAGCUUCGUACUGCCCCACUUCCGAGCUUCUACGAGCAGACGCUCCCAACCCGAGGGAGGCCGCCUACUCCGCCUCUUGCGCCUUCAUUAGGCGGGGCCCGCAGCUCGGCCGCCCCUUCUCGAUGUCUCCACACUCCAUCGAUGUCUUCGGGCGGCGGCUGCCGGUGCCUGCUCCCGCCGGACGCGGAGGCGCUGCCGGGAGCGGCGCUGCCCCAGGUGCCGGAUACGAGCGCGGCGGCGGCGGCGGCCGGUGAGUGACAGCGAGCGGCCUCCCGCCCCUCCCUUCCUCCGCCGGGCGCUGCGGAGCCGGCUCCCAGCGGGGCAGCCCCGGUCCUCCCCCAUUGCGCUGGGGCGGAGACCGUCCCCAUCCCGGGGGGGAGACCGAGGCG